AGAUCUUUAUGUACCUUUGGAGACGAGCAGAGCCAGUCCCUCCUCUUCAUUCCUCCCGUCUUCGUCUUCAAUUGCCGCUCCGCUCACUCCCGGGGUCGUCCCCUUCUGCUUCGACUCAAAGCAGGUCCAGAACGACGGCCACGGGGAUAGGGGAAGACGGGCUGGUAAUGAGGACGGAGCAGCUGACGUCGCCAUCCCGAGCAUGGCCGAGGGCGGCUGCUGCACGCCGGCCACCAGGACGUGCCGCCAAUUUCCUGGCGCGGGUGGGUGCGAGAUGUGGCAGCGCCUCCUUCCACGCGUGUUUCUGCGCCCGGACGCCUCGGCUCCGUCCCGGCCAUCUCCGCCGGUGGGAACAAGGCAGUCGCCGCGCAGCAGUAGGGAGGGAUUAGGCUAGCAAAGUGGCAUCAUGAUGGGGACCGACGUCUGUUCUUCACAGAUGUUGUAUCUGCCCAGGUACAAGAGCGGCGGCAAGGAGGUCAUGGUGCUACCUUACACACCAAUGCCAUCUUCAUCAGUAACAACGACAAAUUCUGCGUGGGUCGGCUGCAGGGUGUUCUCAAGAAGGCUGGUGGUCUUGGAGGCUGCCACUGGUUGUUGAGCCUUGCAUUCGAUUAUUUAGGCGUCUUGCUGAAACUUUGCUAGAAUAUUUUGGUGGCACUUGUACCUGUCCUGGAUACUGAAGGUGCUUUAGAGAUGAAAAAGGGCCAUUGGAGAGAUGUACAUGCUGAAGAUAUGUGCAUGGAGAUGUCUAACUUGAGAACUUCCUUCUCUGCCCACCUUGCCCAGGAACCAUGGUGUUGUGGCUGGCUUGUUCGCUGGCGCGCAUGUUCAUCUGUAGCAUUAUGUGUGGCGCUCCAUCGAGCUCGCUAGAUCGUGUCACGCGCAUGGCCAAGGGAGGGUGUUGCACGCCAGCGACAUGGUCCUAGCCAUCAGGACGAGGUGACGGCGACGUGAGUCACUGUGGGCUGUUGUCCGCCACAUGCUGCAAAGAGUGCCAUGAACCAGAUGGCCGAGGGAGUGCGCUGGUCCUGCUGGACGGGCACCUCCCUUCUCCGUACAGUACGUGAGGCCGCUCUGCCAUGGCAUGCCAACGCAGGGUCUUAGGUCGUCCCGGCUGCCUCCUUGGACGUGUUUGUCAGGAACAAGGCCGCACCUUUAGCCGGUAGUGUCAAGCUGCUCGCCCUAGGUCCACCGCCACAAGAUGAUGUGGCUGGCGACUUCCACCACCACCUCCUGGAGCUCCUGAUGUAGGCUGAGAUGAUGUGCCAUCGUCUCCCUGCUCCAGCUCUUCCUGCUUAAGACCGAGGAAGUUCUCAUCAUUGCGGGCUUGUCCAAGCACAUAUGGAACCUCUAUGCAGCCGCUUGGACAUAGGCAUUCUCAUAGGUAAGGCCCUGCGCGUUCUCUUCCUUCCCCUCCCCCCCUCGUAGAGUGGAACAUAUUAACAAUUUAUGGCAUGUAUGUAUGCAAGAAAGAACAAAGCAUUGGCUGAGACUUCGUGGUAUAUCUUAGAAUAGUUUUUGGUCAGUAUAUAAAUAAUAUGCAACAUCUAUUUUCAAUAUAUGUUGUAUGCAAUCCAUAGUGAAUACUAUUCAGGUGGACAUGAAAAGCUUCUUCCAUAGAAGAAUUCAGAUGCUAAAUUCUGAUUUUUUGGCAACAAAUAGAAUAUGAGAAAAUCGAAGUUGGAGCUUUACAACCAUUUGGGUAUGAUUCUGAAGCAAAUUGUAGAUAACGCAGUCAUGUUAAAUGUUAAUCUUUUUUUUUUGACCUGGGAGCUCUGGUCCAUUUUAUUUUGUUGAUAUUGGGCAUAUUGAUGGCGAACAGAGAUGAUAAAUGACUAGAUGCUUAAAUGUUUUGGUAAAGCUUGAAAGGUUUAGUCUAGAUUAGAUAUUGAGGUCCUGGAUCGGAGUUAGCAUUAUGUGCUUAUGAACUAGCUACUUCCUUUUUGUCUCUUAUUCACUUGGGACAUCAAUCUGAUUGUGUUGUACGGAGGAAUCACUCAAUCACCACAUAAUGUGUGAUUAAAAAGACUCACCCAAGUGUUGCCUUGUAAGUUAGGAACUUUCCAGUUGCUUAUACCUUGUAUGCACAUUCAUCCCCUUGAUCAUAUGUGUAGCUGUUGUGGCUGCUUACGGAGAGAGCACGCCGAGCUCUCGAUAUGGUUUUAGUCGCCAGAAACCCAUCAUCUCCAUGAAGCAGCGAGGAGGGUCAGGUUGCUGCGAGUGGGACGAGCCUAGAGAUUAACUGGUUGGUCUGCAGCUUAUAGAGAAGUUGCUCAUGGGUCUUAUGACAGGGGAACUUGGUGUGUAUGUGCAAUGUGCUUCUAUUAAGUUCAAACCUGGGCGUGGACAUGCAAGUGUGUCCAAUUAUUGAAGCAGAUCACGUUGUUGUGUUGUUUGUGAAUAUUUUCUCUAUGCAAUGUAGCUAUCUAGCACAUUGGUGUUUGCAUGUUGUGCUGACUGUCUAGUGCACUGGAGUGCUCGGGGAGGAGGCCGGAUAACGACGCGGCUACAGCCUCUCGACUCCUCCUGGUCAGCUUAUGAAUCGUGGCAAGGUUGCUGUCGGCUGCUUUGUUCCGGCACACGGGUUUCAGUUCUUGUAAUGUUUAUCAUAUUGAAUUACGUCUUAGUUUUUGUGCAGACCACAAGUUGCAGCCUUUGUUCUCAGCUGGUGGAUUCUGUACAUCAAAAUUUCACUCACAAGUUGUCGUGUUGUAUGUAUCUAUAUAUUAUUAUCAACUAUUUUGCCGUUU